CAAAACGACUCUCGGCAACGGAUAUCUCGGCUCUCGCAUCGAUGAAGAACGUAGCGAAAUGCGAUACUUGGUGUGAAUUGCAGAAUCCCGUGAACCAUCGAGUCUUUGAACGCAAGUUGCGCCCCAAGCCUUUAGGCCGAGGGCACGCCUGCCUGGGUGUCACG
rnacentral:rRNA from 1 species